CCUACGGGAGGCAGCAGUGAGGAAUAUUGGUCAAUGGACGAGAGUCUGAACCAGCCAAGUAGCGUGAAGGAUGACUGCCCUAUGGGUUGUAAACUUCUUUUCUAUGGGAAUAAAAUGUUCCACGUGUGGGAUUUUGUAUGUACCAUAUGAAUAAGGAUCGGCUAACUCCGUGCCAGCAGCCGCGGUAAUCCGGAGGAUCCGAGCUUUAUCCGGAUUUAUUGGGUUUAAAGGGAGCGUAGGGGGAUUGUUAAGUCAGUUGUGAAAGUUUGCGGCCCAACCGUCAAAUUGCAGUUGAAACUGGCAGUCUUGAGUACAGUAGAGGUGGGCGGAAGUCGUGGUGUAGCGGUGAAAUGCUUAGAUAUCACGAAGAACUCCGAUUGCGAAGGCAGCUUACUGGACUGCAACUGACACUGAGGCUCGAAAGUGUGGGUAUCAAACAGGAUUAGAUACCCGAGUAGUC
rnacentral:rRNA from 1 species